rnacentral:RNase_P_RNA from 1 species
CGUUGUGCGGUUCGUCCAGCGAGACCGGUAAGGGUGCAAAGGUGCGGUAAGAGCGCACCAGCAGCAUCGAGAGGUGCUGGCUUGGUAAACCCCGGUUGGGUGCAAGGUCGCGGAAUGACGGUUGGUCUUUUACCGAUUCCAUGUUGGUGUACCGCUUGAGGCGUGCGGUAACGCCCGUCCCAGAUAGAUAACUGCCCCGAUUCUUCGGUCAGGUAUCAGUGCAGGUGCAAUAUCCCAAGCUGACGCGAUCGGCGAUUUGGAACAGAACCCGGCUUAUGACUGCUUUCUCUCU